rfam:Collimonas arenae strain Cal35, complete genome.
GCACAACGCUAGGGGUCCUGAUUGCUGAAAUGCCAAUGUAAUCGGGUGAGAAAUACCCUCGAACCUGAUCUGGGUAAUGCCAGCGAAGGGAAGCUGUCGAGAAUGUUG